AUUGAACGCUGGCGGCAUGCUUUACACAUGCAAGUCGAACGGCAGCGCGGGGCAACCUGGCGGCGAGUGGCGAACGGGUGAGUAAUAUAUCGGAACGUACCCAGAAGUGGGGGAUAACGUAGCGAAAGUUACGCUAAUACCGCAUACGAUCUACGGGUGAAAGAAGGGGACCGCAAGGCCUUAUGCUUUUGGAGCGGCCGAUAUCUGAUUAGCUAGUUGGUGAGGUAAAGGCUCACCAAGGCGACGAUCAGUAGCUGGUCUGAGAGGACGACCAGCCACACUGGAACUGAGACACGGUCCAGACUCCUACGGGAGGCAGCAGUGGGGAAUUUUGGACAAUGGGCGCAAGCCUGAUCCAGCAAUGCCGCGUGAGUGAAGAAGGCCUUCGGGUUGAAAAGCUCUUUUGUCAGGGAAGAAACGGUAGAGGCUAAUAUCCUUUGCUAAUGACGGUACCUGAAGAAUAAGCACCGGCUAACUACGUG
rnacentral:rRNA from 1 species